UACGGAGGGGGCAAGCGUUGCUCGGAAUCACUGGGCGUAAAGGGCGCGUAGGCGGGAUGGCAAGUCGGUCGUGAAAUCCUUCGGCUCAACCGAAGAACGUCGGCCGAUACUGCCGUUCUUGAGGGAUGCAGAGGAGAUUGGAAUUCCCGGUGUAGCGGUGAAAUGUGUAGAGAUCGGGAGGAACACCGGUGGCGAAGGCGGGUCUCUGGGCAUCUCCUGACGCUGAGGCGCGAAAGCGUGGGGAGCAAACGGG
rnacentral:rRNA from 1 species